CAAGGAGUCGCGUGGAUUGCGCAGAAGCAAAAACAGGAGAGAAAGCUGCGGAGGAGAGAGGAGCUCAUGACGGCUCGUGAACACGUGAGAUGAAACUGGGCAGGAAAACACUGGAGACUCAACGUAGGAACGCGCAGCCUGUCUCCGUGAUUCGGGAUCUCCCUGAAAGCUGAAGGAUGAUGGGAACGGACUGUCUGAGUGUUCAGGGAUGUCUGCGCGUCUCAGAAAGACCAGCAUGUCUGAUGCGAAGUUUCUCCUGAUGCUGUGCAAGACUGGCGUGAGAGGAAAACUUCAGACUUCUCCCAGAAAAAUGGUAAACACUGCUCUGAGUGAUGAGGAAAAGGGCAUUCAAGACAAGGAAAGCAAAGAGGAAUCCAUUCUGGCUAUGCUGGGAAUCAUCGGGACCAUCCUCAACCUACUGGUCAUCAUCUUUGUGUACAUUUACACGACUCUGUGAUGCAAAUCUGAACUUCGUGAUGAUCCUGGCAUUAAAAAAGCAGGCCGAUCCACCAGGGACCCACAGAAACAUGCGCUCAAAUGCAGAAACACGGACAGCAGAUUCCCUUCAAACACAGAUGAGUCCGUGGGGAACUUCAUAACUUGUAAAUAUGCACGCUAUUUACUCAUUUCCGCCUGCGAUCCGGAGAAACGGGACCAUUUUUAUGCAUGGCUCAGUUCUGAUCCGAAUAGCUGUUUUUAAUAGCAAACCUACAGUAUAGCGAUUUCUUACUCUACUUACUUGACUAUGAGAGUUCAAGUUUUUCAGGAGACAUGUUCUCCAUGUUUCAGGUUUCCUUAAAACUUUGCUGUUUACAGUAUUAAAAAUAUGCUAACACUUUAGAUGAUGGGGUGUUCGUAAGACUGUCAUGAAACCUUUAUAAUAAUACAUGUGAAGGAGAUUUUACGCAUGAUUCUAACAUGAAUCUAUGAAUCUACAGUAACUU